ACACGUGAGUGACCUGCCUUUUAGACUGGAACAACUUACCGAAAGGUGAGCUAAUGCCGGAUGAGUUAUAUAAGUGCAUGUUUAUAUAGGAAAAGUUGGGGAGACCUGACGCUGAAAGAUGGACUCGCGUCCCAUUAGCUAGUUGGUAGGGUAAUGGCCUACCAAGGCGACGAUGGGUAGCCGGCCUGAGAGGGUGGCCGGCCACACUGGGACUGAGACACGGCCCAGACUCCUACGGGAGGCAGCAGUGGGGAAUUUUGCGCAAUGCUCGUAAGAGUGACGCAGCGACGCCGCGUGAAUGACGAAGGCCUUCGGGUCGUAAAGUUCUUUCGACAGGGAAGAAAAUGCCUAUAAGUAACUGUGUAUGUAUUGACGGUACCUGUAUAAGCAGCCCCGGCUAACUCCGUGCCAGCAGCCGCGGUAAUACGGAGGGGGCGAGCGUUGUUCGGAGUGACUGGGCGUAAAGAGCACGUAGGCGGUGUUGUAAGUCAUUAGUCAAAGACUAGAGCUCAACUUUAGUAAGGCUAGUGAUACUAUAAUACUAGAGUAUCAGAGAGGAUUGCAGAAUUCCUGGUGUAGCGGUGAAAUGCGUAGAUAUCAGGAGGAAUACCGUUAGCGAAGGCGGCAAUCUGGCUGGAAACUGACGCUGAGGUGCGAAAGCGUGGGUAGCAAACAAGAUUAGAUACCCU
rnacentral:rRNA from 1 species